rnacentral:rRNA from 1 species
GGGUUGUGAGGUUAAGCGACUAAGCGUACACGGUGGAUGCCCUGGCAGUCAGAGGCGAUGAAGGGCGUGCUAAUCUGCGAUAAGCGCCGGUAAGGUGAUAUGAACCGUUAUAACCGGCGAUACCCGAAUGGGGAAACCCAGUGUGAUUCGUCACACUAUCAUUAACUGAAUCCAUAGGUUAAUGAGGCGAACCGGGGGAACUGAAACAUCUAAGUACCCCGAGGAAAAGAAAUCAACCGAGAUUCCCCCAGUAGCGGCGAGCGAACGGGGAGGAGCCCAGAGCCUGAAUCAGCAUGUGUGUUAGUGGAAGCGUCUGGAAAGGCGCGCGAUACAGGGUGACAGCCCCGUACACAAAAGCGCAUGUGCUGUGAGCUCGAUGAGUAGGGCGGGACACGUGGUAUCCUGUCUGAAUAUGGGGGGACCAUCCUCCAAGGCUAAAUACUCCUGACUGACCGAUAGUGAACCAGUACCGUGAGGGAAAGGCGAAAAGAACCCCGGCGAGGGGAGUGAAAAAGAACCUGAAACCGUGUACGUACAAGCAGUGGGAGCCCCACCACUAAGCCAGUGGUGAACUCCACAUACGCAUCCUUUGCUGAAGGCAAUGGUUAACGGAGCGAAAGCGACGUUCAACCGCAAAACAAGCAGAGGGGGCUUAGUGGUGGGGUGACUGCGUACCUUUUGUAUAAUGGGUCAGCGACUUAUAUUCUGUAGCAAGGUUAACCGUAUAGGGGAGCCGGAGGGAAACCGAGUCUUAAUUGGGCGUUAAGUUGCAGGGUAUAGACCCGAAACCCGGUGAUCUAGCCAUGGGCAGGUUGAAGGUUGGGUAACACUAACUGGAGGACCGAACCGACUAAUGUUGAAAAAUUAGCGGAUGACCUGUGGCUGGGGGUGAAAGGCCAAUCAAACCGGGAGAUAGCUGGUUCUCCCCGAAAGCUAUUUAGGUAGCGCCUCGUGAAUUCAUCUCCGGGGGUAGAGCACUGUUUCGGCUAGGGGGCCAUCCCGGCUUACCAACCCGAUGCAAACUGCGAAUACCGGAGAAUGUUAUCACGGGAGACACACGGCGGGUGCUAACGUCCGUCGUGAAGAGGGAAACAACCCAGACCGCCAGCUAAGGUCCCAAAGUCAUGGUUAAGUGGGAAACGAUGUGGGAAGGCCCAGACAGCCAGGAUGUUGGCUUAGAAGCAGCCAUCAUUUAAAGAAAGCGUAAUAGCUCACUGGUCGAGUCGGCCUGCGCGGAAGAUGUAACGGGGCUAAACCAUGCACCGAAGCUGCGGCAGCGAACGUAUCACUUAAAGCGAUUCAGCGGGUUACGAUUGACGGAGCGAAGCGACGUCAAAGCGUAUACAAAGUCGAGUCGGUUUAAGGAUACGUUCGUUGGGUAGGGGAGCGUUCUGUAAGCCUGCGAAGGUGGCCUGUGAGGGUUGCUGGAGGUAUCAGAAGUGCGAAUGCUGACAUAAGUAACGAUAAAGCGGGUGAAAAGCCCGCUCGCCGGAAGACCAAGGGUUCCUGUCCAACGUUAAUCGGGGCAGGGUGAGUCGACCCCUAAGGCGAGGCCGAAAGGCGUAGUCGAUGGGAAACGGGUUAAUAUUCCCGUACUUGGUGUUACUGCGAAGGGGGGACGGAGAAGGCUAUGUUGGCCGGGCGACGGUUGUCCCGGUUUAAGCGUGUAGGCUGGUUUUCCAGGCAAAUCCGGAAAAUCAAGGCUGAGGCGUGACGACGAGGCACUACGGUGCUGAAGCAACAAAUGCCCUGCUUCCAGGAAAAGCCUCUAAGCAUCAGGUAACACGAAAUCGUACCCCAAACCGACACAGGUGGUCAGGUAGAGAAUACCAAGGCGCUUGAGAGAACUCGGGUGAAGGAACUAGGCAA